GAAGCAAUGCAAAGCAAAGCGCAGGAGUUGAUGUCCAAAGUUCCCCCAAUCCUCUGAGGCAGAGAGGGGAGAGAGGAGCGAAAAAAUCCCGAUUUGUAACUGAAACACACUUCGACCCGGAGGGCUGGAGAAUAAACCUAUUGUGGAGGCGAAACGCGCGGCGAUACACCAGCAAGGAAAAAAAAAAAAAAAAAAGGAGGAAAAGGUCCCCCCCAAAAGCACCGCUGUUUGCGAAGAAAAAGUAAAUGAGG
ensembl:lncRNA